rnacentral:lncRNA from 1 species
GAAGUGGAAUUUAUUACUUAAGAGUUAGGUUAUGCUUGAUGCAUGAUUGAUGAGUAAUUCUAAUAUUUUUUUGUUGUGAUUUUAUUUUUUCGAGAAUCCAUGAUAGACAGUCAUGUGAUAGAGCUUGAAAUAUUUGAGUCAUUAAUUUUUUUAUGCAGAAAAACGGUUCGAAAGAAAGAUAGGUUUUGGAUUCACGCGGAAGAAUUGAGUGGAAAAUUUAAGUGCAAAUAUUGUUCUAAAGUGUA